GCUUACGACAUGCAUGUCUAAGUAUAAGCACUUUAUACCGUGAAACUGCGAAUGGCUCAUUAAAUCAGUUAUCGUUUAUUUGAUAGUACCUUUACCUGGAUAACCGUGGUAAUUCUAGAGCUAAUACAUGCUAAAAACCCCGACUUCGGAAGGGGUGUAUUUAUUAGAUAAAAAACCAAUGCCCUUCGGGGCUCCUUGGUGAUUCAUAAUAACUUAACGAAUCGCAUGGCCUUGCGCCGGCGAUGGUUCAUUCAAAUUUCUGCCCUAUCAACUUUCGAUUGUAAGAUAGAGGCUUACAAUGGUCUUAACGGGUAACGGGGAAUUAGGGUUCUAUUCCGGAGAGGGAGCCUGAGAAACGGCUACCACAUCCAAGGAAGGCAGCAGGCGCGCAAAUUACCCAAUUCCGACACGGAGAGGUAGUGACAAUAAAUACUGAUACGGGGCUCUUUCGGGUCUCGUAAUUGGAAUGAGUACAAUCUAAAUCCCUUAACGAGGAACAAUUGGAGGGCAAGUCUGGUGCCAGCAGCCGCGGUAAUUCCAGCUCCAAUAGCGUAUAUUAAAGUUGUUGCCGUUAAAAAGCUCGUAGUUGAACCUUGGACCUGGCUGAUCUGUCCUCCUAAUCGAGCGCACGGAUUCGGUCGGGUCUUUCCUUCUGGGGAACCCCAUGCCCUUCACUGGGUGUGGCGGGGAACCAGGACUUUUACCUUGAAAAAAUUAGAGUGUUCAAAGCAGGCCUUUGCUCGAAUACAUUAGCAUGGAAUAAUAGAAUAGGACAUCGGUUCUAUUUHGUUGGUUUCUAGGACCGCUGUAAUGAUUAAUAGGGAUAGUCGGGGGCGUCAGUAUUCAAUUGUCAGAGGUGAAAUUCUUGGAUUUAUUGAAGACUAACUACUGCGAAAGCAUUCGCCAAGGAUGUUUUCAUUAAUCAGUGAACGAAAGUUAGGGGAUCGAAGACGAUCAGAUAGUCGUAGUCUUAACCAUAAACUAUGCCGACUAGGGAUCGGACGGUGGUUUUUUAUUGCCCCGUUCGGCACCUUACGAGAAAUCAAAGUGUUUGGGCUCGGGGGGGAGUAUGGUCGCAAGGCUGAAACUUAAAGAAAUUGACGGAAGGGCACCACCAGGCGUGGAGCCUGCGGKUUAAUUUGRCUCAACAVGGGGAAACUCACCAGGUCCAGACUUACUUAGGAUUGACAGAUUGAUAGCUCUUUCUUGAUUGUAAGGGUGGUGGUGCAUGGCCGUUCUUAGUUGGUGGAGUGAUUUGUCUGCUUAAUUGCGAUAACGAACGAGACCUUGACCUGCUAAAUAGCCAGGUUGACUUUKGUCGGCCGCCGGCUUCUUAGAGGGACUUUKGGCUCAAGCCAAUGGAAGUACGAGGCAAUAACAGGUCUGUGAUGCCCUUAGAUGUUCUGGGCCGCACGCGCGCUACACUGACAGAGCCAGCGAGUACAUCACCUUGGCCGAAAGGUCUGGGUAAUCUUGUUAAACUCUGUCGUGCUGGGGAUAGAGCAUUKCAAUUAUUGCUCUUCAACGAGGAAUGCCUAGUAAGCGCAAGUCAUCAGCUUGCGUUGAUUACGUCCCUGCCCUUUGUACACACCGCCCGUCGCUACUACCGAUUGAAUGGCUCAGUGAGGCCUUGGGACUGGCUCAGAGAGGUCGGCAACGACCACUCAGAGCCGGAAACUUGGUCAAACUUGGUCAUUUAGAGGAAGUAAAAGUCGUAACAAGGUUUCCGUAGGUGAACCUGCGGAAGGAUCAUUA
rnacentral:rRNA from 1 species